ACCCAAAUCACAUUCUUCACUUCUUCACAUCGACACCUUCCCACCACCACCCUCUCUGUCAUCGUCCUGAACCCCAACGCCAGGCUUACCGUCGCACACAUCCGCCUCCAACCAACCUCCACGUCCAUCACCACUUCCCCGUCGCUGGUUCCGACCACCACGCCCUCAGCCGUCUUCUCCAACCACACCGGGACCACUACGCACCACCGUUCCCCUCACCUUCGCCGCCGGUCUCCGACAUCAGGUCAAGGAUGAAGUAGUAGGUUACAAGUAGUAUAAGCAAGGGUACAAGUUUGAUUUUCGACCACCAAAAGUUUUUUGUUGAAAACAAACUCAUGAAAAUGCACCCAACAAAGCAACCGAGGAGUCAAACCCAAAUCCGCAAUUGUUAUCUGAUAUUGUAAUGGAGAUUGGAGCCCCGCCCGUGGCAAUGGCAGCAAACAAGGAUGGAAUUAUGACAGAGGUGGAUGCUGACGUCCACGAUGUUAUGGCAAUGGACGUCGAAGAAAUCGAGAAGCCAUCAGAAUCAAGUCCCAUGACAACAGUUGUAUUAUGAUCAUGGCUCAUGGUCUUUCUUCAGACACCAUAAGGCUGGACUAUGCCAUAAAAAUGAGCUACCACUGCAGUUACCUAAGCUCAUGGUGUGCCACUGGAACCUGGUUUUCAAGAACAAUAAAAAAGCGACGUGUGGUAUUGAGUAGUUUAUAUCAGCAGGUAUAUAAUAUGGGUAAUGUGUGGUUAUAUCUCAGACCUCAGUUGCAAUAUAAAAUGGGUUUAUCUCUCAGUUGUCAGGUUAGAAGUUUAACUGCUAUUGAUAUUGGGUCAACUGUUAUAAUUGGAGAUAUGCUGAUGUUGGUCAAAGUUUGUAUUUGCAAUGUUGUAUUCAAAUGGGGAAGUUAAUUAAUAGUCAA